UGCAUUCACUACUAUAAGUCGCUCUGGAUAAGAGCGUCUGCUAAAUGACAAAAA
rfam:Salmo salar isolate Sally breed double haploid chromosome ssa12, whole genome shotgun sequence.